GACGCCAAAAUCUGAGGAUUCCCAGAAGGGAAUAAGAGAGACUCAUUUUUUGUUUGCCAGUGAACAAGUAGCCCAAUGCCCCAAAUGGGAUAGUGGAUGCCACAUCCAUCAAGAACCAUGUUGAAAGGUACCUCAUAGAAAUCUUUCUUCUAUCUCUCACAAGAAGCUGGGUUCUUGAAUCGAUAUAAGCAACAAAGAAGGUUAAGACAAUAUCAAUGGCGAAGAAUAUAUCAACAAUGCUGUCUGCAAUGUAUAGCCUUUUAUUUGCAGAUGAAUUCAGAAAUGCUACUUCGAAGGGGCUAACCCAUGCGGAGUAAGCUACCAGAAGCAACAUAAAUGACUCCCAACACCUGUA
rnacentral:misc_RNA from 1 species